GUUACAGACGAACCCUCGUUGGGUCGAAGC
rfam:Haloferax mediterranei ATCC 33500, complete genome.